rnacentral:rRNA from 1 species
UACAGAGGGUGCGAGCGUUAAUCGGAAUUACUGGGCGUAAAGCGCGCGUAGGCGGCUUUUCAAGUCGAUUGUGAAAUCCCCGGGCUUAACCUGGGAACUGCAGUCGAGACUGUCUAGCUAGAGUAUGGGAGAGGGAAGUGGAAUUUCCGGUGUAGCGGUGAAAUGCGUAGAUAUCGGAAGGAACAUCAGUGGCGAAAGCGACUUCCUGGACCAGUACCGAC